CCCCUAGAUGUUCUGGGCCGCACGCGCGCUACACUGAACAGUUCAACAAGUCUUAACCUUGGCCGAUAGGUCUGGGUAAUCUUUGAACGCUGUUCGUGAUUGGGAUAGACCUUUGCAAUUAUGGGUCUUCAACGAGGAAUUCCUAGUAAACGCAAGUCAUCAGCUUGCAUUGAUUACGUCCCUGCCCUUUGUACACACCGCCCGUCACACCUACCGAUUGAACGGUCCGGUGAAAUCUCGGGACGGCGGCUUGGUCGCUUGCGUCCGACUGCUGAAACUUGAUUAAACCAUNUNAUUUAGNGGAAGGUGAANUCGUANCA
rnacentral:rRNA from 1 species